ensembl:lncRNA
UUUUUUUUUUUUUUUUUUUGUAAAUAAUCUUAAAAAUUCUUUUAUUUUCCAUAGCAUUGGCCCUGAUUUUCACAAACAUAACACUUUUUCCUUGCCUCGUGUUAAUACUCCAGCAUUCCUAAUGCUUUCCAGUUCCCUUGUUUUCACCCUGCUUUAACAGACAUUCCUGUUUGCAAUGUAAUUUUUAUUUUUCCCCAAAUAUCCUUGUCUUGAAAUGGCAGAAUGCUACUGAAAGUAUCUUGUGGCUACUUUUGGUGAUUUAAAAAAAAUUCCAAAUUGAGAAGGAUAUAAGGUCCCAGAGUACAACCCAAACAUUAUCCAAAUCUCUGCAUCCAAGAAAAAAUCCAGCCUGAGAAAAAAAAUUGUUCCAAGUCACUACAAUAGAAUUUAUCCUACCUAACUUUAAGUACCUAUACUUUAAAUGUCCUUACUUUCUGAGAUGAUACUGUUACUAUGUCCUCUCUUAAUUCCCAUGUGGUUUAAAAUAGUACUGAAUUGACCCAAUUUUCCUUCAGUCCUCCUUUCCCCUGGUACCAUUACAGUCAAACUUCCUAGUUUCUAUAGAAAAAAGGUAUUCUAAGUAAAACUUACACAUGAUAGUCUGUAGUUGUGAAUUUGUUGUUUUUUUGACAAGUGGCUCUCAUAAAACUGCUACUGACUAAUAUUUUUAAAGCAGACAAUCUAGUCAAUCUAGGUAAUCUAUACUAAGCAGUAAACACAAAAUACACAUAAGAGGUCAAAAGAAAUAUAUAUUAGGUUGAUCUAAAUCUUACAUUCCAACUUUUUCUCUGUGUCCUUUAAUAUAUUCCUUAAAAAAAUAUAAAUCUCUGGCUGUUUCUUACCUUUUUUUUUUCUCUUCGCUGAUUUACCUUUUGUCUUAAUUCAUAUUUUUCUCUACCUAAGUAAAUUAUUCUCUGCCUGUUUCCUCUUUUUGACUGUUUCAUUUUUUUUUUCUUGCUAUUUCUUCAGUCUGAACUGUUUGAUAUUUCUCUAUUAAAACUUCAUUACUCUGUAUGCCGCAAUUUGGGUCACUUAAAGAGAACAAAUCCACGAUUUUCACUACUGUAUGGACUGCUAAACAAUAUUAUUGUCACUAUAUCUUUUUUUUUUUUUUCAGAGCAAUAAUAUAUUUGUGGAAAGGUGAAUGGAAAGAACUAAAUAUAUUAUUCUAAAUAAGUGUUAGGCUUAAUCAACCUCUUGCAUAGAAGUAACAAUUCAUUUAAUUUGUGUUACAUACCUUUGCUUUUUCAUCCUAAGAUCUAGUUUAUAUAUGCAGCUACAAACUGACUUGAUGGUUUCAAGAAUUUUUUUCACCAUAAGUCCUCAGUUUUGGGGAUGGGAAUUAUAAGGUGUAUGCCUGUUUUAUGCAAUGCAAAAAAUAUGUUUCAUUAUUUCUUAUCCACUGACCUAACUGGUUUGUAUUCUGUUGUAUGUAUUAGUUUUUCAAAAGUUCUAAGUUCUUAUUUUUGCUAUUGUCCUGAGUCUUAUUCUUCCUCUUAUUAUCUUCAUUAUUCUAUAUAAAGAUAUAUGCCUAAUAUGACUAUAGCGUAUUACUUUGUGCCUUUCAAAAUUAGAAAAGCUGUCAAAGUAAAUGAGUGAAUCUGAAAAUUUGUUUGAAAGGAGGAGACUUAGCUUCUGAACAAAAUCUCUGACCAAAAUAGGGGGAAAAGUAUAAUCUAGACCUUUCUUGGUAAAGGAAAAUGUACAUAAUUGCUCAUCAAACGUGGAUGCACACACAUGCACGUUUAACACAAGCAUGCACGCAAUAAAAGAAACCAAAUUCCAUAACACAAAAAUUAAUAUACUUCCCAGGUAGAAAAUGUGCUUUUAUAAAAUAUUUCAGACAUUUUUUGCCGGAAUGUGUAUCCUUCCUCCCUUUUAAUUUCAGUAACCUACAUUUGCUGAAGCUCCAAUAGAUUAUUAUUUUUCAAGGAAGAAGGAAGCAAUGAGGAGAGGUAGGGAGAAAAGGAAGGAAAAGAAAAAAAAGUGUUAUUAGAUUCAAUUUCCUUCAAAAACUUAGGAAUGAUUCUGAGAAUCAGAGAUUCUGAUAUUACACAGGCUACUGAGUACAUCUGUGGUUGGCUGUGUGAUCCAUCACUUCAGUUUUCCAGUCUCUCUUUCUCAUCACUGCAAAAGCCCCUUCACAAGUUUGAAGUUAAUAAACUUCUAAUCAUCUCUGCAUGGCCAAUCAAAUAUUCAUUAAGGCCCAGCACACUGGCCAGCUGGAUUUCAAAAGUUUCCUACCUUGAGGAAUUUAAAAGUGCCCAACUGCCCACUUUCCUGAGAAGGUUAUUGACAUGGCUGAAUGUACUCAUUGUGGCAAACUUUCUUCCUGUGUCUAAUCAGAGUCUCCUCAGGAGUAACUUGUGACCAUUACGCCUCAUCAUUUCCAUGUGACUCCUUGUAUAAAGGGAGGCUCCAUCUUCUUUGUAGCCACACUUUAAAAACUGAAAGAUGAUAAGGUCUUCCCUAAGCUUUCUUCUCUCAAGGCUGAACAAACCCAGUUCUCCCUUUCCUGCAUGACAGGAUCCCAGUCCUUGGAUCAUCUUUUUGGCCCUUCUCUAGAUCAUCUGGAGAUUAUCCUGUUUGCAUUUUGGUUUUUUAUCAUGGAUCAAAACCCAGCACCCUAUUUCCAAGUGUGUCCUGACAAGCACAGAAGGGGAUAAUAAAGUGGCUUUUUAAUCUCUACUGGUGAUGCUCUUGUUGAUGCACCCCAAAAUCCUGCUGGCUUUCUGUGCCACAGCAGCAAAUUUCUCACAUUGAACUUGCAGUUCCCCAGGAUCCCCAGGUCCAUUUCUGUAGAACUGUCUCACAAACAGGUAGAUGCCAGCCUGAGAUACACUCCUGGAUUAUGUCUCCCCAGGCACAAGACCUUAUUCUUGUCCUUGUUAAAUUUCAUAAAUUUCUUGCUGGUUCUGUCUUCCAGCCUAUCCAGAUCUUCCUGCAGGGUGCCACUCCCUCCUGAAGUGUUCCCUUCCACACCCAGUUUGGUAUUAUCAGCAAACAUCAUCAGAGCACAUUUGAUCCCAUCAUCCAGAUCAUUUAUGAAGACAUUAAACAGCAUGGGGCUCCAUUUGGUUCCCUGGGGGACCCCAUAUGUGACAGACUGCCAGUUUGAAAAGCAGCUAUUUACUACCACCCUUUGGGCGCAGUCUGUCAGCCAGUUCCCCACCCACCACACAGACCCCUUCUCUAGACCAUGACACACAUGCAGCCGGCUCCAUAGUUUAGUACAACAAAAAAUAGAGAAGAUAUAAAAAAUGGUACUUAGCAUUUUGUGUUAGAUCCAGAUGAUGUACAUCAGGGAGCAAAUCAUGAGGCCAGUUUGUAAAAAGUGCUGAACAUUCUGGUUGUAUAUAAAAUAAAUGAUCAAGUGAGUGGACUGUACAGUAUAUGCACAAUACCCUUGUGCUUUGUCACCUGAAUGAUGUUUCUCAAUUUGUGUGUAUUUCUCAAGGAAAAACCCUAAUCUGAAGAAAGAAAAUAAUUUAAUACUGAAACAGUAGGAUUCUCUUCAAGACUCAUGUAAAUGUGUCACUUCAGGUUUUUCUGUUGUUUUUUGGGGGGUUUUGUUUAGUUUUGGUUUAUUGUGGGUUUUUUUGGCUUUUUGUGGAACUAUUCCAGCAAGUACCCUUUCAUAUUAAAAUUCUAACCUUCUUCCUCCCUUUGCAUAGCUGUAAAAACAUUUGCCAAUUUACUUCCUCUAACAGCCUGCAGCUCUCUAGCACUAUCCAGAAAUUACCUGAUUUCUUUUCGAUACCCUAAGCUUCUCUCUAAAACAGCUGUAUCAGCAAAGAUAUUUUUAGUGUCUUUUCCUUCAUCCUCAAUAUCAUUCUCAUAAAACCUUGUCAUCCAGUCCUCCUGCUUUUUUUCCAUCACUCAUUUCUAUUAAAAUUCUAAUUUUUUUUUAAACGCACAGGCGUUUUUCUACAUUACCUGUUUCCAUCAUUCUAAUCAUGUCAUAUACUGCUUAAAAAGUACUGCAACAAUACUAAAUAUCAGUUUGACAAUUUCAGCCUGAUGACUCUUUUUUCCCCCCAUUUUCUUUAGGAUUAGAUAUUUAACCAUUUCCUAUAUCAUCCAACUUUACCGUAUAUCUCCCUCAUCUUUGGUAACAGUAACCUACAAAAGAAGUACACAUGCAUGGGACCUCUAAAAUGAGUUAUUUAGCAUGAAAGAUUCACAUCAGUCAAACACUGUCCUUGCAAUUAAUCUGAUCAGUUAAAAAUUAAUCUGAUUAGGUUGCAAACAUUUUCUUUCUCAGAGAAUGCAUAUUAAACAUGUUGUGAGAGGUUGUGAAAAGACACAUUUUCUGCACAUGUGUAACUUUCAAAGCUCCUAGAUGAGACCACUCAUUCUAAUUUGGAAAUCACAGAUCAUGAUAUAGUACAUGACAUUUCUCCCCAAGAAAAGAAACCAAAGUUAAAUCAGGAAAAGUGGGGGAGGGGGGGGGGGAGUGAAGAAAAGCGGAAUUUGAGUUUAACAUGAUGUAUUUCCAAAACUGGAUAUUUUGACAGAUUUGGUAGAUGUGCAUGUAGAGCCACAACAAAAUGCACAAGCAUAUAUUACCUGAUGAACAGAUUGGCCAUCUGUGUUACCUUCUGCUGACAAGAUUUAUGAGAGCAAUUUUAUAUAUCAUAUAAAAGAAUUAUGUCAAAUAUUUAAAUAAAUUUCUUUCAAACUCCUCUCUAUAAUAAUAGCAUAACUGUUGUUAAUAUAUUGCACAUAUUUUGUGCUUUUCACAAAAGAUAGAGUAUGUCUUUAUGUACAAAUAUGAAUGUGCAAUAGAGAAAGAGAAAGAAAGGUAGAAAACUUUCAUUUUAAUUAGCGAGAAAAACUUUUUAUUCACUCUUUCUAUAACAACAUUUAGCUACACCUUGCAUUUGUCUAAGCUAUCACAAUAGACUCCAAUGACUUAAGGACCUGAUUUAAGGUUAACUGCAAGAGCUUUUUAAAUUGGUACCUUCCUUCCUUCCUGCAGAACAGCAUUUGAGACCCCAGAGUAUCACACAUAAACAGACAAGGUUCUCCAACCUCUAGACUUCCAUUUAAUGACUUUGAGAUAAGGAUUUCUGCUUAGCAUCUAAUAUUGCACCUUUUCAGCUGCACAAAAAAUACAGACGAUAAUAUAAAAAGAAUCCUAUAUUUUCUGCAUAAAAUAUACAACAUUCCAUCAGUAUAAAAACAACCUGUAUUAAGUGAAGUAGUUUGGCUGUGUAUAUUCAGGACAAUUCUACCAAAGGAAACUCUCUACAGCACAAUAUUGUACACAAUAGUUCACUAAGUGUUUGAAUGGGGCAAUCAGUACAUGCAAUCAGAAUAUGUUUUCUAACACUUUGCUAAAAAUUGUUGCAUUCCAAGGCUGAAUAAGAUAUCUAUAUACAUAUGUUUUUAAAUGUUAUUUUUGCUAUUGUAAAUUAAAGGUUAGUCUUUCUUUUAUGUCAUAAAAAGCAGAGUUUAAGCUGAAAAAACUUGCUGGAUAUUGGUAAAAUAUAGUAUUUGCUAGCUCAGUCAAUUAUCAUCAUAAUUUCUCAUUUCUGCAGAAAAGUAAGCUUCUCAUGAGGAAGCAUUCUGAAUUAACCUGACCUUAGGAUGUUUAAAAAGGGUUAAAUUACUCACCCUUCUAUGUACACUUAUUGUUUACUGUAAAUCAACCCUACAUUUCAAUUAAUAAUUUCAAAUUAACUCUAUUUCAUUGAAGCAUACCCCAAUAUACUUUGCGUCAGAACCUUUCAAAUGAAGAGAACAGCUUUAAAUGCUAUACUGUAUCAUCUCUAUGAGCCCUAAAACAUUAAAUAUUAUUUUCUUAAGCCGGCUUGUUAUAUCUAAAAGGCAUGACUAAAAAUACUGAUUGCUCAAGAGUGCUCACAUCAGUCUUCCUUUGCAUUUCUGCGUCCAAUAUUAGGAUGCAGAAGAGCGUGCCUCUAUUUUAAGAAUUUAAUGUUAUUAAAAUUUGUCCCUUUAGACCUUCCUUGAAUGAUGGAUCUUCUACAGGGUAGACACUAUCAAAACUGUAGCCAUGGCUGAAUACACUUUAGUAAUAUAUUUCUCAAGUUCUUUGUGCUAAUGUAAUGAGCUACAUCAUAGCUGAAAUUCAACAUGUAAAAGCUGUCUUCUUAUCAGUGUAAGGCAUUUCUGUAUUGAAAAAUAAAUCUUUUCUGCAGGUCAAUAUGGCUUUUGUAAAUCAGUGAUUAAAAUUGUGUUUAACUGUACAGAAUUUAACAAAAGCAGUACCUGGAGUGUCCUUGUUGAAUUUCAAUUGUUCAGAAUAAACAAGUGCUGUAAUGCAUUUUUUAUGUACUAAGUGUCUACUUAAAGUAUUGCUUUGAUCUUUCAAUUUCAAACUUAGAGGAACAAACAGGUUAUUUUUCAUAAGUACUAUUUAUGUUCUUUACUUUUAUACUAUGACCUCUAAAUCUUAAUACAAGAGUAAGCUGAAUCUAGGAAAGUGGCCGUGGACAUUUAUCAUCUACUUUCCCAUCCCCCUUUUUUAUAAAGACAAAUUACUAAAGCCAAAGUAUUCCAUAGAAAAAUUUGGUUAUAUCUUUUAUUUUCAGCAUAACUUCAUUAUGAUCUGCAAAUGCUAGCAGAUAUAGUCUAAAUACUUACAUAUCUCAGAUUAAACUGGUGUUAAUUAUGUAGAAAAUGCACACUUAUUCUAAGACUAUCGUGCUUUUUUGUGCAUUCAUUUCCACAGUCAGGGAAUAUGCGAGCAUGUGUCCACUUGGAAACUUGCAAAAGAUGCCUUCCUUUUGUAGAUGUUGUGGAUAGAUGAUAUAAAGAUACUCAAGAAAAUUAAGUCUUCUACUCAGCUAAGAUACCCCAGAAGCAGAUGUAUGGGAGUAGCUGAGCUUCAUUUGGGGACAAACUCAGAAGUAAAAAAUACUCCAAGAAUACAUUAAUAAUAAAGACAGAAAUGUAUUAAUGACAGUUGAAUAGCUUGUCAAACAACUCUUAAAUGCUUAUUUGCAUCUUAAUGGUUAAUUAAGGAAUGGGAGAUUGACAAAUAGGUUAAGGGAACUAGAAGUCUGAAAUUACAUUAAAUUACAGUACUUUUUAUUUAUUAUUUCUACCUUUAUGCAUUUCAUGCAAAGCAGAGUACUCCAUUGUUCUGAAGUGCUAUUAAUGAACUCAAUAAUUUGUUUGCAAGAUGUAUGGAGGAGUUUGCUUCCUUGCAGGUGCUGUAAACUUACCAUUUUUCACCUAGCAAGGAACUGGAGGAUGGAUAAACAUGGCUGAUCUGAUGAAUUGGUAAGGCAUGAUGUGUUCAAAUAUCUUAUUUAAGAUCUUUACUUCUAAAUUAUUUUCCAGGUUCACAAACAGUG